GGACAUUCCACACCAUGGAGUGUCAUACCCAGUAUAUAAACUGGGGGAAGUUACUUGAGAAGGGGGCUGAGCUGGACUGAGCCAGGAGAGUCUGGCAUUGGUCAGUGGGUGGCAGACAACCUGUGGAAACACCUGCCCACGCAUCACAGCCGUGCCAAACCUGCCUUUGGCAGAUACUUCCCCACUCACACAGCAGAACCAGCUGCUACCAGAGUCCAGGUGCACCAAAUCCUCAUUCCAGUGAGUGAAAAUCGAGGUAGGAAGGGAUCCCCGAAGAGGAGCAUUCCUUGAGACCAUCAACAGCAUUAAUUCAGUGCACUGGAGUCCUUGGAACUGGUAUCCUGGAACACCAUUGCCUAUCAAUUUUCUGAGGAUUCUCUUGACACCAGGAGAGCUGUUAUAUUUAGAUGCUUAUCUGCUUUUGACUGCAGUGCAGUGCUUGCGAAGAUGUCUUUCAUUUUGAGGCUUAACACAUUAAAUAUCACCUGAUCUGAAGAUGUUUGAGGGUGUAGAGCCUGUGGCAUAGAAUAAAUGUCUUGUCUAAAAAUAGCGUUACAUUUCUGCAUAGCCCUUCAUUUUGUGUAGCUCUACUUUGUACAUAAAUUAAGGCACAAAGAGAAACUAAAGGUCUGUCUUCACACUGACAGAGGGAAGAAAUCUCAAAGCUUAAAAAGAAAAUCCUCUGACAUUCCUACUCAAAAUCUCCCCA